rnacentral:lncRNA from 1 species
CAGAUGCCUUCCAGCUGCUGGCUGGUCCCCAGGACCCCACUGCCACUGAGAGCUGACGAGUGGUCGAGUGCACGCAAGUAUGUGCAGCUUGGAGAGGUGCAGUGACGUGCCUGAGGUCUACGGCCCCAAAUGGCAGAUGAGGGGCUCAAUUCCAGGCUUGUCUGUGGGGUGCCCUCCCUGGACACAAGGACUGCCAACCCUGUGUGAAUGUGAGCCUCAUGAAGGAGACAGGUGAGAAGCCUGAGUGCUGGUGGCUGUAGGCUGCUAAACUGUAAAUACAGAUAAUGUCCAAA